rnacentral:tRNA from 1 species
GCGGGUAUAGUUUAGUGGUAGAACAUCAGCUUCCCAAGCUGAAUAUGAGGGUUCGAUUCCCUUUACCCGCU